GAUGAAGAACGUAGCGAAAUGCGAUAAGUAAUGUGAAUUGCAGAAUUCAGUGAAUCAUCGAAUCUUUGAACGCACCUUGCGCUCCUUGGUAUUCUGAGGAGCAUGCCUGUUUGAGUGUCAUUAAAUUCUCAACUACACUGACUUUGAAUUGGUGUGGCUUGGAUUUGGGGGGAAAAUUGUUGUGGGCUUUUUGUAUAGUCUGCUCCCCUGAAAUUGAUUAGCGGUACCUUUGUGGAACUGUCUACAGGUGUGAUAAUUAUCUACAUCUUAGACAUCUGCUGGAAUGCUGCUUUCUAAACCUCACUUGUAUUGACAAUCUUGACCUCAAAUCAGGUAGGACUACCCGCUGAACUUAAGCAUAUCAAUAAGCGGAGGA
rnacentral:misc_RNA from 1 species